GAUGAACGCUGGCGGCGUGCCUAAUACAUGCAAGUCGAACGCACAGCGAAAGGUGCUUGCACCUUUCAAGUGAGUGGCGAACGGGUGAGUAACACGUGGACAACCUGCCUCAAGGCUGGGGAUAACAUUUGGAAACAGAUGCUAAUACCGAAUAAAACUCAGUGUCGCAUGACACAAAGUUAAAAGGCGCUUUGGCGUCACCUAGAGAUGGAUCCGCGGUGCAUUAGUUAGUUGGUGGGGUAAAGGCCUACCAAGACAAAGAUGCAUAGCCGAAUUGAGAGACUGAUCGGCCACAUUGGGACUGAGACACGGCCCAAACUCCUACGGGAGGCUGCAGUAGGGAAUCUUCCACAAUGGGCGAAAGCCUGAUGGAGCAAAGCCGCGUGUGUGAUGAAGGCUUUCGGGUCGUAAAGCACUGUUGUAUGGGAAGAACAGCUAGAAUAGGGAAUGAUUUUAGUUUGACGGUACCAUACCAGAAAGGGACGGCUAAAUACGUGCCAGCCGCCGCCGUAA
rnacentral:rRNA from 1 species